CUCCGGGUCCUGCGCAAGUGGAGCCUGUGAACCAGGUCAGGACCGGAAGGUAGCAGCCUUAAGCGGAUACUCUGCUGUGCCGCGGGGUGCUCGGGGGUG
rnacentral:SRP_RNA from 1 species